ACGUGGCAAGCUGCGAUAAGCCCAGGGUAGCCGCAAGUCAGGCUUUGAACCUGGGAUUUCCUUAAUUAUAUGCGCAAGCAUAGGCAAACGCGGGGAACUGAAAUGACUUAGUACCCGCAGGAAAAGAAAGAAUUUUCGAUUCGGCUAGUAACACGAGUGAAAGCCGAAGAGGGCAACCUGAAUCCCGCCUGGCAACAGGUGCGGAGAUGUGGUGCAGGAGGACUCCAAAGCACGAGCUGAAGGUUCUGGAAAGAGCCGCCAAAGAGAGUGACAGCCUCGUAAGUCAAGUGCAAUGGAAUUUACUGUAAUAGAGUAACUCUGCUUGAUUAUGCAGAACGAAUACGGGAGCAUUAAAUCCCAACCCUAAAUAUUGGCUAUAGACCGAUAGCGAACAAGUAGCGUGAGCGAAAGCUGAAAAGAACCCAUACGCAUGGGAUUGAAAAGAUCUGAAACUAGAUGGUAAAACGAAGGUAAGGCAUGGAAGUUAUGAAGUACUGUGAAGCCGAAGGCCGAAAGGCUCAGGCGAACGGCAUGGAACAGUGUCUUAUCAUUCUUCUUGAAGCAAGAGCCAGGGAGUGUAUAGGAGUGGCGAGUCGAAAGACGCAGCGAAAGCGAGUGCGCGCAAUACGUGAGGCGCAGGGUAUGAAAAUGCCUUUAGUCACUUCUAUACGACCCGAAGCCGUUGUGAACUACGCGCGACCAAGGCGAAGCUAGGCUAAUGCCUGGUGGAGGCCUGCAACCUGUCAUGGCAUGUCCUGUUGGGUGAGUUGCGGGUAGCGGCGAUAUACCACUCGAACACGGCAAUAGCGGGUCCCUUCUGAAGUAUCUUUAGGAUAGCUCCGGGCGAGCUUGCACAUGCGGUAGAGCUACCGACUGGUUGGCACGGACUCGAAAGGGUCCACCAACCUAUCAAACUCCGAAUGCAUGUGCUGCGUAGACCCCGGGAGUCGACCAGUUUGGGUAAGCCAGAUUGGUGAGACUGCAAAGAUAGUGACUGAGGUUAAGGUCCCCAAAUCCUGAUUAAGUGUCUUAAAAGUAGGGCAGAUCACAGACAGCUGGGAGGUAGGCUCAGAAGCAGCCAUCCUUCAAAGAGUGCGUAAUAGCUCACCAGUUGAGAUUUGCCUCACUGAAGAUAUACGGGGCUAAAUCAGGUACCGAGACCCCAGAGACUGAAUAAGUCUGGUAAGAAGGCGUGUAGCAUGUCAAGAAGUGCGUUCGAAAGUCCGCAUGGAACAUGUUAUAGGGAAAAUCCUGGUAUAAGUAACAGCAUAUAUAGGUGAGAAUCCUAUACACCGAAAGCACAAGGUUUUCUUCGCAACGCUCGUCAGCGGAGAGUUAGUCGAUCCUAAGCUGAAUGCUAAUCACAAUUCAGCAAAAGGGAAGCAUGCUAAUAUUCAUGCACCUAGAAUGUAGGAGCGGCAACGCAAGGUAGAUUUCUGACGCUUGGGGAUAGGUCCGCAAGGAAGUGCAAAGGGCUGCAGAGUCUCGUUAUGAGGAGAAGCAGCUAAAUGAACUAUGGACUGAAUUCCUGAGCCCGUGAAAAGGGAAUUUGCAACGAUCAUUCUAGCUCGUACCUAGAACCAUUAGAGGUGCUGCUGGCUGAAGAGGCCAAGGUGUGACGGGGUAACCCAUGUUAGGGAAAUCGGCAAAAUAGUGGCGUAAGAUAGCAAGAAGCCAUGUCUGCGUAUAGGAUAUGCAGAUAUCAUUGACUAGGGAACGACAACUGUUUAUCAAAAACACAACUCACCGCAAAGCGGAAACGCUAAGUACAGUGGGUGACGCCUGCUCACCGCCAGUACGUGAAAGCCCUUUUCAAGGGGAAGAAGCGCUGGCAAAGAGCGGGAGUAACUCUGACUCUCUUGAGGUAGCGUAAUACCUCGUCACUUAAUAGGUGACUUGCAUGAAGGGCGUAAUGAUCGUUCCACUGUCCCAACAUGGGGCCCGGUGAACUUACUGCGCGGUGAAUAUGCCGCGAUCUCUCAGUGGGAAAAGAAGUCUCCAUGAAGCUUGACUACAACCUGUAGUUGUUGUUAGAUGGAUUAUGCAUAGCGUAAGUGGGAGCGUAGAAGCGUGCGCUGCGGCGCACGUGGAGCGAAAAUGUAACACCACUCUUAGUUUGUCUUGCAGCUCACUAGCAAUAGGACAGCUGCAGGCGGGUAGUUAGACUGGACGGUUGCUUUCGAUAAGGAAACGAAAGUGACCAAUGCUCUGCUUAGGUGGUUUGGGAAACCACUGUUAAGCGAAAAGGUAAAUGCAGGGCUGACUGUAUCCUUAAAAGCGUGGGAUGCAGACUGGAAACAGGGGCUUAACGAACUUUGGCACCCUUUUUAAUGAGGGUCCAAGCUGUCAAACAAGUUACUCUGGAGGUAACCGAUUUGUCGCCAGUGAGCGUCCACAGCGACCUGGCGGUUUGAUACAUCGAUAUGGGCCUAUGAUAUCCUGGCUGUGCACAAGCAGCCAAGGGUUGGACUGCUCGUCCAUUAAAAUCAUACACGAGCUGAGUUCAGUACGCCGCGAGGCAGUACGGUAUUAUCUACUGGGAGUGUUAGUGUCAGAGGGUAAGCUCCCCUCAAUACGAGAGGAACAGGGGAUCGGCGCCUCUAGUGUACCGGUUGUGAUUGCAUUGCCGGGUAGCCACGCGCCAAGCGGAUAAGUCCUGAAAGCAUCUAAGGACGAAGCCAGACCCGAAACUAGACACUAUGGCGGUCGCAAUAGACGACUUUGAUAGGACGGGUGCGUAAGC
rnacentral:rRNA from 1 species